rnacentral:rRNA from 1 species
GACGGGGGGGGCAAGUGUUCUUCGGAAUGACUGGGCGUAAAGGGCACGUAGGCGGUGAAUCGGGUUGAAAGUGAAAGUCGCCAAAAAGUGGCGGAAUGCUCUCGAAACCAAUUCACUUGAGUGAGACAGAGGAGAGUGGAAUUUCGUGCGUAGGGGUGAAAUCCGUAGAUCUACGAAGGAACGCCAAAGCGAAGGCAGCUCUCUGGGUCCCUACCGACGCUGGGUGCGAAAGCAUGGGGAGCGAACAGGG